AUUGAACGCUGGCGGCAGGCUUUACACAUGCAAGUCGGACGAGUGGCGAACGGGUGAGUAAUAUAUCGGAACGUACCGAGUAAUGGGGGAUAACUAAUCGAAAGUUUAGCUAAUACCGCAUUCUAUUAUAUCGGCCGAUAUCUGUUUAGCGGGUUGGUGGGGUAAAGGCCCACCAAGGCGACGAUCCGUAGCGGGUCUGAGAGGAUGAUCCGCCAAACUGGAACUGAGACACGGCCCAGACUCCUACGGGAGGCAGCAGUGGGGAAUAUUGGACAAUGGGCGCAAGCCUGAUGCAGCCAUGCCGCGUGUAUGAAGAAGGCCUUCGGGUUGUAAAGGACUUUUGUCAGGGAGGCGGUACCUGAAGAAUAAGCACCGGCUAACUACGUGCCAGCAGCCGCGGUAAUAC
rnacentral:rRNA from 1 species